rnacentral:lncRNA from 1 species
UGCACAUCUCAUAAUUUGGAUGGCCAGCAGGUUGCUGUGAGGGCAAGUAAGCACUUUUCAGCUUCCUUCUUGCUGUCUCUGAGUAAAGACACUGUAUUGGCAGUUUGUCUCAGACUACGUGGCUCUAGGUGUCUCUGCACGCCUGAGAAAGGAGUAUAUGCAAAAACAAAAACUGAGCAGGAAGACUGGAUUUUUCCUUGUUUGGCACAAACAAGAAAUGCCUGGGGUGGGUGUCACUGUCCUUGCUUUUUGUUCCUGGAACAUCUGCUACUAAGAGCAAAACAGAAAUGAAUUUCUUUAUUGCAAGAAACCAUGAUUAUUUAUUGAAUUGGAAAGCAAGCAGGCUGAUGCUCCAUUGAAUACUGUGAACAACAUGUAAGUAUAGUACAUUUACUGUAAUGCUGAUUAAAAUUUCAGUUUAUCUAGUGAUUAUGAUUCAGUUUUAACAAAGAAACUGUUGGUUGGAGAUUCUUAAUUUAUUUUUAUCAUAGCAGCAAAUAAGGUAAUAUGACAGAUCAUGUCUGAGGUCAUACUUUUCUGAAGGUGUUUUUGUCCCUUUGUUUUAUUCUGCACAUUAAUCUCCAUCAGGCUCUGCUAUGCAUUCGUAACCUUUGCUCAGAAAAAUCCAUGGCAACACAAAUCAGGAUUAAUAGUAAUUGAUAAGUAAAGCUCAUAAAAAAAAAAAAAAAAAAGAAGAAGAAGAAGAAAGCUGAUGAUGCAUGGCCUACCUUGUCAGCAGAAUGACGUGACACUAGAUAAACCUCUAUCUUUGUUACCUUUCCCCAAAAUAGCAGUAGUAUGUCCUUUUGUAGGAACUUGAAAAACAAGACUAUUCAAUGGCAGACAAAGACAUAAAUUCUGAUUAAAUUCAUAGUAAUGUGUAGUAACAUUAAUUACCUUCUCAGACUUAAUGCACUAGUACCGAAGGGAAAGAGAAAAAGGCUAUUUAUUCCUUCUCACCAUGAUGUGCACAUAGCAUUGUUUUGUCUGGUAACAAUAUUGUUUCUGAUUUAGCUAAGGGGAUGACAAUUUUUAAUUUUAAUCUGCUUGUUUAAUUUCAUUGCAUGUCUUGCCUGAUUAAGGUCCACUAAAUAAUCCUUUAGUUCUUGAGAUGGAUGUCGCUUUAAUCGCUGUCUCAUUUGACUUUAGAAAGGCUAAUUGAUUCAACUGAGUUUAUGGUUUUGUUUGUCUCCUCUGCCCACAAACAUUUGUGGGGAUGAUUUUAUUGUCUCCAGUAUUUGAGGUCUGUAUAUCUGUCAUUCAAAUAGCUGUGCAGUCAUGCAAAAGCAGGAUUUUAAGCAUUUUAUUACUCAGUAUUUUCAGCAUAUGAUUCCUGGACUGCAGCUUUCCUAGAAGUUGCAGCAAGAGUAGAAAUGAUAUCAGCUGAGAUGGUGUCAUAUAUAUUGACGAACAAACCUCGCCUUUAGGCUUUUACCGUACAGCCAGGCAGCUUGCCUUCAUUUGUGUAAACUUUUCUGACAACCCUGAAUAAUAAAUUACUUAAUAAAAGAUGGUAUUUUGCA